rnacentral:rRNA from 1 species
GACGAACGCUGGCGGCGUGCUUAACACAUGCAAGUCGAACGGAAAGGCCCUGCUUUGGUGGGGUGCUCGAGUGGCGAACGGGUGAGUAACACGUGAGUAACCUGCCCUUGACUUUGGGAUAACUUCAGGAAACUGGGGCUAAUACCGGAUAGGAGCUCCUGCUGCAUGGUGUGGGUUGGAAAGUUUCGGCGGUUGGGGAUGGACUCGCGGCUUAUCAGCUUGUUGGUGGGGUAGUGGCUUACCAAGGCUUUGACGGGUAGCCGGCCUGAGAGGGUGACCGGCCACAUUGGGACUGAGAUACGGCCCAGACUCCUACGGGAGGCAGCAGUGGGGAAUAUUGCACAAUGGGCGGAAGCCUGAUGCAGCAACGCCGCGUGCGGGAUGACGGCCUUCGGGUUGUAAACCGCUUUCGCCUGUGACGAAGCGUGAGUGACGGUAAUGGGUAAAGAAGCGCCGGCUAACUACGUG